AUACGUAGGGGGCGAGCGUUGUCCGGAAUUACUGGGCGUAAAGAGCUCGUAGGUGGUUUGUCGCGUCGUCUGUGAAAUUCCGGGGCUUAACUCCGGGCGUGCAGGCGAUACGGGCAUACUUUGAGUACUGUAGGGGAGACCGGAAUUCCUGGGGUAGGGGUGAAAUGCGCAGAUAUCAGGAGGAACACCGGUGGCGAAGGCGGGUCUCUGGGCAGUAACUGACGCUGAGGAGCGAAAGCAUGGGUAGCGAACAGGAUUAGAUACCCUGGUAGUCCAUGCCGUAAACGGUGGGCGCUAGGUGUAGGGGUCUUCCACGACUUCUGUGCCGUAGCUAACGCAUUAAGCGCCCCGCCUGGGGAGUACGGCCGCAAGGCUAAAACUCAAAUGAAUUGACGGGG
rnacentral:rRNA from 1 species